GACGAACGCUGGCGGCGUGCUUAACACAUGCAAGUCGAACGGAAAGGCCCUGCUUUUGUGGGGUGCUCGAGUGGCGAACGGGUGAGUAACACGUGAGUAACCUGCCCUUGACUUUGGGAUAACUUCAGGAAACUGGGGCUCAUAUCGGAUAGGAGCUCCUGCUGCAUGGUGGGGGUUGGAAAGUUUCGGCGGUUGGGGAUGGACUCGCGGCUUAUCAGCUUGUUGGUGGGGUAGUGGCUUACCAAGGCUUUGACGGGUAGCCGGCCUGAGAGGGUGACCGGCGACAAGGGGACUGAGAGACGGCCCAGACGGCUACGGGAGGCAGCAGUGGGGAGUAUUGCACAAUGGGCGGAAGCCUGAUGCGGCAGCGCCGCGUGCGGAAUGACGGCCUUCGGGUUGUAAACCGCUUUCGCCUGUGACGAAGCGUGAGUGACGGUAAUGAGUAAAGAAGCACCGGCUAACUACGUG
rnacentral:rRNA from 1 species